CAACAACAACAACAAUAAAAGACAAAAAAAAAAAUAAAUAAAUAAAAGGAGAGAACUAACAGUCUCACUGUGCCCUGCAUUACGUAGCCCAUGACUCAUAUUAUUUUAUGAAGUUUUUGACUGUCACUUUAAAAAAUGGACAUUGAUAAAUAUGAGUGCACAGCAAGGAAAGCUACCCAGAUAAUAAAAUGCAAGACAUCAGAAGUGACAUUGUUGGAGUAACUGGAUGCUUAGCCUCAAGAUGACUUAUGAUGACAAUUUUCCAUCAUUUUAUACACAUGGGGGAGAGAUUAAAAUUACUUUUGAAGCUCCAGAGAGAGUUUAACAUAGGACCAAUGGGAAGAAAUUGUUGAGAGAAUUGGGCUCAAUAUGUGAAGUCUCCUCUGAAGAUUAUAGUGAGUAAAACACAAAAUCAACUGCUCCGUUAUACAUUGGGAUUCCUGAGUCAGGAAGGAUUCAUAUGGGAACUGUGUGACCUUCUGCCUAAAAGUUAUAGAUGGGAGCACUGAACUGUGUGAAAGAUACAAAUAGGUGACCUCUAACCACUUAUCAAACACUUAUUGGUUCAAUGUGGGGGGCCAAUAUUUAUGCUUCUGUUUCCUCAGCUAUAAAAUAAGGAUGAUAAUAAUAGCAAUAACUGUAGUAACAAUAACAAAACAAAUACAAAUCCAAUGAAUUGCUGAGAAGAUUGAAUGAGAAAAAAAUGUCUUAUAAAGAAUUGUUAUAUAUUACAAGGGAAACAGAGAAGUAGCAACAACAAUGGAGGUCUGACUUCUAUUCGAGGACCGUUUUGCUAUCACCUGGCUCCUCUGGUCUGGAAUCACCCCAGAGCCUUUCCUCUGUGA
rnacentral:lncRNA from 1 species